UACCUUUUAAUGGGACGGUCGAGCAGUGGCUCCUGCUUCAUAGGGGUCAUGUCCCCUUUAAGACUUCGUUGAAAGCUGUGGGUCCUCUCUCCAGAAUGAUACACAUUCACACCUAAUACACUCAUUUUUGCACAUGAUUUCGAGGACAUUGGGAUGUUCUGAAGCCUAAGCAUGAGUACCUCUCACCCACCAGUAUCAAGUCUUCACUAUAUCUUUAUAUGUGGAGAAAAAGGUUAUAGUUUACCCGGUUAUUCACUGUGUACGGACAUUGGGCUGGUUCAUCUGUAACAUUUUGCAAGUGAAGAGUACAUUACUUCUAAAAAUACUAAAGAUUAUUAAAGAGAAGUAACAUUUAGUGGAGGUUGCUAUUUACUGCCACUCUCCUGAGUGCUUUACGUAAAUAACAUACACAGUCCUUACCUGAACCCUAAAAAGGCUAUUAUUAUUAUUAUUAUUAUUAUUAUUAUUAUUAUUAUAUUUUUUAGAAAAGAAAACCAAGGCAUAGAGAGAUUAAGUAAUUACCGAAAAUCAUAGAGGUGGUGUAUGUGGUAGAGCCAAGAUUUGAACCCAGAUGUUCCGGUGAAAAAGUCUGUCCAUCCAUUGCUCUUCUGUACUACCCUAUAAUACCAAAAAAAGAAAUGCCAAUGUUAUAGAAAAUUCCAAAGUAAGAAAAAGAGUAAUUCUUUUGUAAAUCAGAUAGCUAGAGUAUAAAUUUUACCAUCAUCUCCACUUCAAGGCUAUUUGAAAACGAGGCAUCCAGACCCACUUUUAAAACCCCCUGGCCAGGAUUUGUAUUUCUUCCGAAGGACUGCUUAUCAGAUUACUUUUGUUGGAGUUGAUUAGUUUGUUCUCUUGGAAAAAUACAGUUUGAUCAGAAAGUGUUUACAUGGAAGGAGCGUGGUAGAAUUCGUUGUUUCCUAGUAUGUGGGAGUUUUCUCUCUUAACCCGGGAACUUCCUGUUCAAGUAACAUUCCCUGUCCUACAAAUCAGAGGAAAUACUUAUGGAAUACUUCCGAUAGCUGUUCCCUUCCCUAGUAAUCUCAGUUCUGUGCUGCUUUGGGAUGGUGAGUGACGGUAAGGGGGCCAGGGGACCUGAUAUAUUUAAUAGAUUUAGCUAAGCUUGUUUUAUAUUAUUGUUUUGUUAAAUGCAGACCUUUAAUGCUAAAAGCCAAAAGACCCUCAAGUUUUUGGUUUCUGUCUUUACAGUAAACCGUCAAUAUUUGUUGGAUGCUCUCGGUGUGCUAGAUUCUGGUGGUCCUGGUCCCUGCCUAGAAUCUAGUCUAUUACCAUCAUUUUCAUUCAUUCUGUAAAUAUUUACUGGGUCUCUAUUAUAUGCAAACACCGUACUAGGCAAUGUAGAAGGUAGAUUCACAAAUAAGACAGAAUCUCUGUCUUCGAGAAUUUUGAAAGUUUAGAGGAGAGGAAACUGUAAACCACUAACAACGAAGAAUACAAUGAAAGUACCAGUGAGGAUCUGUGAAAAGACCACAGGACAGAGUAAUUUUAACUAGACGGAUCAGAGAUGCUUCAUAAAUGAGGUGGCAUUUGAGCACGAUGUGGACAGAUGAAUGCAAUUUCAGUGAGGGGGCAGAGGGGGGAGAGCAUCACAGAUGUAGAGGACAGUGCGGACAAAAGCAUGGAGUCACAACAGUAAAUGCGUGCCCGAAGAACAUCAAGGAGGCUGAUGUGCUGCAGCAUGGACUCUGGGAGAGAAAGGGAGAAAGAGACUAGCUUGUAGAAGCCCUCCAAUGCGGACAGAACCUUUGGGGUUUGGGGCAGUCAUAGGGAGUCAUUAACGGUUCGUGAACUCGAGGACAAAUGAAUGGGAGGUUGCAUACAUCCUAUACUAAAUAUCUAGGUUCAGAAAGGAAUGGCUAUUAAGUAGCAAUUAAGGCAGACAAAGAGGAGAUGCUAGGAAGAGAAAGUUUUUUAUUCUAGUGUGGACCAAGGCAUGGGGAGUGGGGGGACCAGCUCCCUUUACUCAGUUAACUCAAGCUCAUCCUUGUAUGUAGAUUUUAACAUUUUUUCAAUCUAUAGAAAAAAAAGAAAAGAAGGAAAAUAGAAAAAAAUAGGAAGAGUUGAA